rnacentral:rRNA from 1 species
UUUCGGUUAAAUCUAUAUGCUCAACAUAUAGGCUGCCGGGAAUACUGCAAAGCUAGGGAAUGGGAGAGGUAGACGGUACUCCGUAGGAAGGGGUAAAAUCCUUUGAUCUAUGGAUGACCACCUGUGGCGAAGGCGGUCUACCAGAACACGUCCGACGGUGAGGGAUGAAAGCUGGGGGAGCAAACCGGAUUAGAUACCCGGGUAGUCCCAGCUGUAAACUAUGCAAACUCAGUGAUGCAUUGGCUGUGGCCAGUGCAGUGCCGCAGGGAAGCCGUUAAGUUUGCCGCCUGGGAAGUACGUACGCAAGUAUGAAACUUAAAGGAAUUGGCGGGGGGGCACCACAAGGGGUGAAGCCUGCGGUUCAAUUGGAGUCAACGCCAGAAAUCUUACCCGGAGAGACAGCAGAAUGAAGGUCAAGUUGAAGACUUUACCAGACAAGCUGAGAAGUGGUGCAUGGCCGUCGCCAGCUCGUGCCGUGAGAUGUCCUGUUAAGUCAGGUAACGAGCGAGAUCCUUGCCUCUAGUUGCCACCAUUACUCUCAGGAGUAGUGGGGCGAAUUAGCGGGACUGCCGUAGUUAAUACGGAGGAAGGAGAGGGCCACGGCAGGUCAGUAUGCCCUGAAACUCUGGGGCCACACGCGGGCUGCAAUGGUAGUGACAAUGGGUUCCGAAUCCGAAAGGAGGAGGUAAUCCUCAAACGCUACCACAGUUAUGACUGAGGGCUGCAACUCGCCCUCACGAAUAUGGAAUCCCUA